UUAGCCUACAUUGAUUAAAUUAACAUAUAGUGGGAUUGAUUCCAUAGUUUCUAGAAAAAGAAGGGUACAUUGUUGAGGUUAAGUAUUUUUAUUGACAGCUUGUGGAUUCACACCAACAAAAACACUGUAAUUUAUUUUCAAAUAUAGGCUAUACCUAACAGUUUAAUUUUGAAUGAGAUCAACUUUGUUGAGAAAUUUGAAAAUGAAAGGAUCGCGUGGGAUAGGCAGUCAGUUUAUUUACUCAUAAGGGAAUACAAAAGGUACAAAAAUGAGUUUUCAAACCCAGAUGUGAGGAGACGUGAUUAUUGGGAGAAGGUGAGUAACAAUCUGGCAGUGUCUGGUUACAGUUUUGAUGUGGAACAGUGUGAGAAGAAAUGGAGGAACUUGAGGAAGACUUACAAAGAAAAUGAAGGCAAGCAAGUUGUAAACUGGCCUUUCUUCAAUGUACUGAAGGACAUCUUCUCCUCAGAGCCAGAAUGCAAACAAGACGAGGGUUUAAAAGAUUGUUACGAUGGUGCAACUAGCUUCACGCAAGUGGGCAUGGACAUUCAUGAAGAGAGUAGUUUAGAAUGUUUACCUGAAUAUAAUGAGGAUUCCUUACCGCCUUCAUGGUUCCUUGAUUUUCUAGCAAAAUACAAAGAGGACGAAAAGAAGAAAAUGAAAAUGCUUGAAGAUAUGCAUAAUGAUGUCGUCAAGCUUGAGAAAAGAAAAUGUGCUUUAUUAAAAACUCUAAUAGAUAAACUUUCAUAAAACGUUUGUGAUUAUUUAUAAAGUGUUUAUUUCUUAUUCUUUUCCACAAUAAACCAUGAAACUUUUUUUUAAACAAAUCGGAUAAGCAAGUGUGGGACCAGAACAUGACUUUAUGUUUGAUCGAUGAAUACAGAAAUCACUUGCAAGAUUUUCUCUACCCACAAGGGACAAUGAUAAGAGACAUCUGGGAAAGGAUAAGUCUCAACAUGCAUGCCAAGGGUUAUAAAAUUUCUGCCGGGGUUUGCGAUCAAAAGUGGCGUCAGUUGAAGAAAACUUUCAAAUACAAUCAGACAGAAAGGAAGAUCAAACCAAAGUGGAUAUAUUACGAGGCACUAGAGGAUAUCUUGAACAAUGAUGAAAUCACAAAAAGGAUCAGUUGGAAACAGAGAUCGACGAUUAAACAGCAUCCUCAGUUUUCCACUGAAGAGGACACUUUCGUUGACGAAGAAACUGUUAAUGACAAUACAAGGGAAGAUAUAAACGAAGGUCCUCCUAAAUGGUUUGAUGUAUUUUUAAAACAAUAUCAAGAAGAUGAGGAACAGAAACGGAAAACAUUACAGAAAAUGCAUUCCGAUCUCGUAGCUUUAGAACGGCAAAAGUGUAUUUUAUUAGAAAACUUAAUUAAAAAGAUUCCUAAUCCUGACACUGUGCCAAAAAUCAUAGGGGCUGUAAGCCUCAGUCAAGAAGUUUUUGAAAACGAUGAAAAAUUGAACUGUACUUUCAAUGGUGUUUAAUAAAUGGAUUAAUUUUACUACAAAUCAAGCUGUACAUGAUACAUCAAGCUGACUCCUUAAUAAUAAAAUGUAUUUCAAUGAUGUAAUUAUUUCUUAGUGUAAACAAUAAAAAACAUUGCUGAAAUGUUUGUACAAAUAUAAAAUGUUUGUAAA